UGGGUCCUCAGCCUGCUUCCCUGAACAACCUGUGAGUGGAGGCUGGUGGAAAAUCUGCUGACUGGACCCAAGAUGUGCUUAAGAGACUUCAGAUGGUACAAAGGAAGACUUAUUGUCUCAGUCCAAAAACUACAGGUCUAGAUGAGAAUCUCCUUCUGUAGACGGAUAUUGAAGGAAAGCCCAAGUGAGUUCAUGUACUGUUCUAA
rnacentral:lncRNA from 1 species